rnacentral:rRNA from 1 species
GACGAACGCUGGCGGCGUGCCUAAUACAUGCAAGUUGAGCGCUGAAGGCUGGUACUUGUACCGACUUGAUGAGCAGCGAACGGGUGAGUAACGCGUGGGGAAUCUGCCUUUGAGCGGGGUACAACAUGGGGAAACGAAUGCUAAUACCGCAUAAAAACUUUAAACACAGGUUUGAAGGUUGAAAGAUGCAAUUGCAUCACUGAAAGAUGAUCCCGCGUUGUAUUAGGUAGGUGGUGAGGUAAAAGGUCACCUAGGGGUUGACACAUAGCCCCACUGAGAGGGUGAUCGGCCAGCUUGGGACUGAGACCCGGCACAAAGGCCCAGGGGAGGCACCAGGAGGGAAUCUUGGGCAAUCGACGAAAGUCUGACCGCGAAGCGCCGAGGCAGGAAGGAAGGUUUUCGGGUCGUAAAACUCGGUUGGUAGGGAAGAAACUUCGUGAGCGUGGAACGAUCAUCAAGUGACGGUAACUACCCAGAAAGCGGCGGCUAACUACGUG